rnacentral:lncRNA from 8 species
AUGCUGAUUUCAUCAAGUCCAUUACAGUGGCUUGGAAAUACAGAAAUCACAUUCCUAAAAGUAGGCAAAUACACUGCAUGGUCAGAAGUAUGUGGUCUGGGGCUGUUUUUCAUGGUUCAGGCUCGGCCCCUUAGUUCCAGUGAAGGAACAUUUAACGCUACAGCAUACAAAGACAUUCUAGAUGAUUAUGUGCUUCCAACUUUGUGGCAACAGUUUGGGGAUGGCCCUUUCCUGCUUCAGCAUGGUGGGUCCCAUAAAUCUACACACCCGAACCCCUUUACCUCUACCCAGAAUCUCUUCUACACACCCGAACCCCUUUACCUCUACCCAGAAUCUCUUCUACACACCCGAACCCCUUUACCUCUACCCAGAAUCUCUUCUACACACCCGAACCCCUUUACCUCUACCCAGAAUCUCUUCUACACACCCGAACCCCUUUACCUCUACCCAGAAUCUCUUCUACACACCCGAACCCCUUUACCUCUACCCAGAAUCUCUUCUACACACCCGAACCCCUUUACCUCUACCCAGAAUCUCUUCUACACACCCGAACCCCUUUACCUCUACCCAGAAUCUCUUCUACACACCCGAACCCCUUUACCUCUACCCAGAAUCUCUUCUACACACCCGAACCCCUUUACCUCUACCCAGAAUCUCUUCUACACACCCGAACCCCUUUACCUCUACCCAGAAUCUCUACUACACACCCGAACCCCUUUACCUCUACCCAGAAUCUCUUCUACACACCCGAACCCCUUUACCUCUACCCAGAAUCUCUUCUACACACCCGAACCCCUUUACCUCUACCCAGAAUCUCUUCUACACACCCGAACCCCUUUACCUCUACCCAGAAUCUCUUCUACACACCCGAACCCCUUUACCUCUACCCAGAAUCUCUUCUACACACCCGAACCCCUUUACCUCUACCCAGAAUCUCUACUACACACCCGAACCCCUUUACCUCUACCCAGAAUCUCUUCUACACACCCGAACCCCUUUACCUCUACCCAGAAUCUCUUCUACACACCCGAACCCCUUUACCUCUACCCAGAAUCUCUUCUACACACCCGAACCCCUUUACCUCUACCCAGAAUCUCUACUACACACCCGAACCCCNNNNNNNNNNNNNNNNNNNNGUGUCCCUCAUAUCAUACAUCAGCUGAGGUAAUACCUGAUACCAGGAGGGUCGCUUGGCUGGUUCAAUCCCAUCUAUCCAAUCCCACCCCCCACAACCAGGAAAUAAAUUCAAUGUGUCCCUCAUAUCAUACAUCAGCUGAGGUAGUACCUGAUACCAGGAGGGUCGCUUGGCUGGUUCAAUCCCAUCUAUCCAAUCCCACCCCCCCACAACCAGGAAAUAAAUUCAAUGUGUCCCUCAUAUCAUACAUCAGCUGA